rnacentral:misc_RNA from 1 species
GAUGAAGAACGUAGUGAAAUGCGAUAAGUAAUGUGAAUUGCAGAAUUCAGUGAAUCAUCGAAUCUUUGAACGCACAUUGCGCCCCCUGGUAUUCCGGGGGGCAUGCCUGUCCGAGCGUCAUUACAACCCUCAAGCUCAGCUUGGUGUUGGGCCCCGCCGCCCCGGCGGGCCCUAAAGUCAGUGGUGGUGCCGUCCGGCUCCGAGCGUAGUAAUUCUUCUCGCUCUGGAGGUCCGGUCGUGUGCUCGCCAGCAACCCCCAAUUUUUUUCAGGUUGACCUCGGAUCAGGUAGGGAUACCCGCUGAACUUAAGCAUAUCAAUAAGCGGAGGA